rnacentral:hammerhead_ribozyme from 1 species
AUCCAGCUGACGACUCUCAAAUAGGACGAAAUACGCAUCCUGGAU